UCACCUUAUUGGGGGGUUGAGUGACACAAAUUGGCCCCCAACCAGAGGCCUGGGAGGCGCGGCAGUAAGGAGACGUGCAGAACAACGCCCAGCCCAGUGACGGUGGGUCUGGACCAGCUCUCCGGCCUGCCUCCUAACGCAAGAACAAAUGUGCCAAUGAAAUGUCAUCUGACCACUGCAAAGGGCUUUCCCAUGUGACCCAGUUAACCUGUGGGACUCCCUGCUGCAAGGUGCCCUGGAGGUCCAGAGCUGAGCAGCACCCAGAAGAGGCCUGGGAAAACAAACGCUUCCCACGUCACAAUGCACGUCCCUCUCCUUCGGAAAGGCACAAACGGCCGCCUGCUGGGGACGUCCUGAUGUGCCGGGGAAAGCACAGAUCGUCUCGGUCCGCUGCGGCCCUGCCGGAGCGUCAGCUGCCGAUGCAGUUCUUCGCUGAAUGCCACAGUGAGGGGCAGAGCGCUGGGACGUGCCACCCCAGAGGUGGCUGCACCCUGGCCGGCAGAUAGCGGGGGUGUCUACUACUCCGAGACCCACCAGGAUGAAGGCUUCUGUCUUGCGGAGAUGGCUGGACG